CGGAUUGUAGGCUGAAACUCGCCUAUAUGAAGCUGGAGUUACUAGUAAUCGCAGAUCAGAAUGCUGCGGUGAAUGCGUUCCCGGGUCUUGUACACGCCGCCCGUCACACCACGGAAGUUGGGGGCGCCCGAAGCCACUUAGCUAACCCAUUUGGGAAGCGAGUGUCGAAGGUGAAAUCAAUAACUGGGGUGAAGUCGUAACAAGGUACC
rnacentral:rRNA from 1 species